CUGUGUGUGGGACUACAUUUCCAAUGCUGGGUGCUGAGGCAAGAAGGCUGUGAUGCCUGCAGCCUGAGAAUCCCUCAGGGAUGGUUCAGACAGAAAUGGGGAUAUAACAGUGGGACCUACUUACGUGUGAUGAAGCCAACUCCAGGAACAUAAUCAGCCAACAAGCGCAAAAGGAGGAGGAUCCUGCCCCUAGAAAUGGAGAGAAAAUAAACAAGUUCAGCUGGACAUCUUCUGCCCCAGCUGUUGAACACACAAACAGCAAUGACAGCUGUUAUACAAAGGCUUAGAAUAACCUGGUCACAGGCACCCACACAUCUUCAGAUCUACACACCCAGUCUACUGACGCUAUUUCAGUUAAAAGGGAAAUUUUUAGCAAAAGCCCAGCAAGGGCACCUUACUCUGAGUAUCGGUCAUAGAAAGGAGAUCUCAGCAGGUAGUACAGCAGCAGGAUGGUUCGUCGCCUCAGCUCUGCCCGUUCUCGCCUGUUCAGGUCUUUCAGAUCACUCAGCAAACUCAGACUGGAAGGAGGAGGGCAAAGAGCUAAGUCAGAGCAAAAGCAGUCAGCAGGGAAAAGAAAGCAGGUUUCUAAAGCCCUCCGCUCUCAGCUCCACGCAGAGCAGCAUGCAACAGCUCAGAAGAGAGAGCACUGUAAGUGUUGUAGAAGAUGUGUCAAUCUCCAAGCUAAAGACCAUUCUGGGUGCAUAUUUCUCUCAGUAGGGCCUGCCCAGGACUGGGGAAUGGGGAAGCGUGAUUCCCAGCCACCACCAAAUCAAGCACCAGAAAGGCUCUUCAGACUGACCUCGAGAUGUCCAGGACUGCCGAGAGGAGCCAGGGCUUCCACGAUCUCUGACCCCAUACUCCUAAACUCAGAACUAGGAACACACAGUCAAGGAAUGAAAAAAUGAGAGAUUCCUAACAAGAGGCACACAGAGAAGUGACCCCCUGCGUACCCACAAAGUUCUGCCAAGCACAGGCGAAUACACCCUAAGGCAGGGCUGGGAGCCCCGGGGAAAGGGGCUGGAGGACUUGCACGCACAGCUCUAGUGGCUGCGGCCAGCCCCAAAGUGUUAGAAGGGGAAGAGGCCCGAGUCCCGUGCCCGAGCAGAGCCGCACAGGGAGCGGAGCUGGCGAUCACUGCCCUGCGCCCGGCCGAGCCCGCAGCACCCUCUGCUGGCACCCGGAGCGCUGGGAGCCCGCACGGAGAGCGGCAGGAUACGGUGGAGCAGCGGGCGGGUAAUGUAGAUGGAUUCCGCGAUGGUUUCUUGGAGACCCAAAGGAGUGGGAAGCUGGUUCAUCUCCUCCGCUCUUCGGCUCUGCGAUUCCUCCCUCUGCUGGGGGGACCCCCAGUGCCGCGACUGCAGGGA